GACGAACGCUGGCGGCGUGCCUAACACAUGCAAGUCAAGGCGGUAGCAAUACCGACUGGCGCACGGGUGCGGAACACGUAGGUAAUCUGCCCUUCAGGGGAGAACAACUCAUCGAAAGGUGAGCUAAAUCUCCGUAAUGUUUUACUGUGGCAUCACAGUUUAACCAAACUUUCUGAGGGAGUGAGCCUGCGUCUGAUUAGCUAGUUGGUGAGGUAACUGCUCACCAAGGCUACGAUCAGUAGCUGGUCUGAGAGGAUGAUCAGCCACAUUGGG
rnacentral:rRNA from 1 species